rnacentral:rRNA from 1 species
CAGCCGCCGCGGUAAUACGUAGGUGGCAAGCGUUGUCCGGAAUUAUUGGGCGUAAAGCAAGCGCAGGCGGUUAGAUAAGUCUGAAGUUAAAGGCUGUGGCCUAACCAUAGUACGCUUUGGAAACUGUUUAACUUGAGUGCAAGAGGGGAGAGUGGAAUUCCAUGUGUAGCGGUGAAAUGCGUUGAGAUCGGAAAGAGCACCAACGGCGAAAGCACUCUGCUGGGCCGACACUGACACUGAGAGACGAAAGCUAGGGGAGCAAAUGGGAUUAGAUACCCGUGUAGUCCCUGUCUCUUAUACA